GGGGGGAACGGGGCGGUCAGUGAGGGGGGAAUGGCGCGGCCUGUGGGCACGGCAGGGCGGGGGAGCGCUCCACGGGCACGGCGGUACGCUCCCAGCCCGCCGACAGGGUCUGACCCAGCUCGCGGCCUCCGCCGCUGCUCGCUACGUGUGAAUUGCAGACUUGUCCUGCCCAGCGUGCCAGAAAGCUCCGGACCUUUGCGUUUCCUUCCCUUACAGCACAGCACUCUGGAAGCGGGAGAUAAUUUUGUCAGAAGCAACCCAAAUCUACACAGGGCCCAUCCUGCAGCAAACUCAGCUGUUGGAGCCUUCCAACCGAAAUUUGCCUGUUAAGAGAUACUGCUUUCCUCCUCGAUGGGGUGGUUGAACAGUGGAACAGGUUGCUCAGAGCACUGUGGAAUCCUAUGGAGAUUUUCAGAAGCUGACUGGACAUAGGCCUGAGCAACCUGCUUGUGCAGGAGGGUUGGCCUAGAACAUCUCCAGAGGUCCCUGCCAACCUCAGCUAUUCUAUGAGUCUACAAAGUAGUAAUACAAAGUAUUGUUGAUUCCUGAAGGAUCUGAAGUGCUUUUGGCUUUUUUAGGACUGAUACGCACUAAUAAGAGGUGUUUGUAAAACAGUAAAUAGCUGUAAAAAAAAAAAAAGUUAUUUUCAAAGCAACAAAAAGUAAUAAAAAAGAAACUUUAUGAAGAUAAUGUUUUUGAAAAUAGGUGAACAAUUCCUCAGUAGUUAAUAAACAGGAAAACUUGCACUGAAAAUUUUUACUUGUAGGUGAACAUUUCUUACAAUUUUUUUUAGGCCACAUUUUCAACAACAGGUUUUGCAUGUGUUUGAGAUCUUACAUUUCUCUAAAGAAGGUCAAACACAGUUUGAUAUCAGAGGGUUAACUUCUAAUUAGAAAUUCUGCAAGAUCAAAAAGUGCCAUUAUGAGGGGACUUGAGUAUCCUGAGGGAAGUGUGAAGUCAGGCUCCAAACCCUCCCUCUCCUCCAGGCAGGAACCAGGUGAGGAACAGCCCUUCUUCACCUGCUUCCCAGCCCUGCUAGUUCCCAGCAGUGACAUUCCCAUCAAUGGCAGAUGCCAGGGCUUAAGGGAUGGUGGUUUCCAACUGCCAUGCCCAAGGGGAAGGCUGAUCUGACUCCAAAAGAGACUUGUCCAAGCUCUGUUCCCUAUGUCCUGUAGGAGAAACAUCAUGUGUUUACAAAAAAUGAAGUCAGCCUGUUCUUAGAGAUAAAUAAUUUCUGAAGGGAUUUUGUUGCCUUGCCCUGGAAGCAAGGAUCACAAAUAAUACUGUGAUCUUCCAGGAGACACCACAGGAUGUAUUUUCAACCAUGCACCCUGCCUUGCCACCCACCUGCAUUGGGACAGCAAAACCACACUCACGUAUAUCCCUCUGCAAUCCUGGGAAGCCAGGGGAGCCACAACAAGCCCAUUAUUGUGCUAAUAAAUAGGGUCAAUGUCAGUUUUGAAGCUUACGCUUUUAACUCAGCAGCUCUGGCACCCUCCUGCACAAAGGAAACAUCUCAGUUGUUCACAUGGCUGUGCUCAUCAGCAGGAAAUAAAUAAAUCUGUGCUUAGCAUCAUUUCUCCUUAGGGUAAACUUUGCCACUGAAGUUUUCAAAUUAGAGCUGAAGAAAAAUAUUUUGAAGGUUUUCUGGCUGUGCUGACUCCAGCACUCCACAUAUCUCUCCCAGCAGAUUACAGGGGACUUUUGGACUUAAUCUCUUCUGGUAUUCAUGUGACAAAUCAAUAUUCAUUAAGCUCUAUGUUCUUACUUUAGAUUAGGUAUCAUUAAACACUGCAGUGUGGAGGGGAUUUGGGGAGACAGUACUGAUGACUUUCUUAAAGGCUGGCAAAAAGGAAAAAAAGCCAUUAAAUAGAGUAUUACUUUAUCAUGGAAGAAUAAGUGCUUCCAUGAAGGAAUUAGUGCAGCAAGAGCAGGCUGGGAUGUGCCAGAAGUGAAGCAGUGUCUAUAUUUUUUACAGGUGUGAUAAUUAUCAGAGUCUUGGAUUAUUUGGCCAGCUCUCAAAACAACUCAAAGAGACAGCAGCCUCAUUUCAGUGGUACUGAACUGUGCUGGCUCUGAGGUGUCUUCCCUCCUUUCUGUUACGAAGAUUUCACCUUGCUCAUUUUAAAAAGCAUUGCACUGAAAUUUGUACUGCAGCUUGUAUAUUUUGAGGACUUCCAUAUAUAUUUACAUAAAGCAAAAGUAAUUCCAGUGUGGAAUUGGAGAAAGGUUGUCUGCUAUAAGGAAUCUCACAUGUUUUAUCUGUUGCAAAAAUAAAAUGAAUCCAUGAUGGCAGACACUCCUGGUGUCAAAUCGUGUCUUCUAGGCUGUUUAAAGGAUAGCUGGAUCUUUUUGUGUGUAAAAAUGCCGUUUUGAGCACUGGAAGAAUAUCCUUUAAUUACCACAGAGAUGUAAAAAAUUAAUUUGUAUAUACAUUUGUAUAAAAAAUACUUUAGGAUUGGAAAAGAGACAAUAUAUCUGUUUGCAAUCUCUGCAACAGACUGAAAAAUCAAACAAUACAUCUCAAAGAAUAAAAACAGCAACUGUUUUAAAUGUGUAUUUUCAUACUUCUAGGGUGUUCUGCUGUUGUCAGUACUUUUCAUGACAAACAGUGCUCUGAGCACACAUACAAGUUUGCUUUGCAAGCACUCUGCGAACUUCAGACUUAAAACAGAAAAACUCUUUCAAGUAGAGUGUGUGGAAACCUGCGUGCCUGGUAGCUUUGUGGGAGAAACAGGUUCUGUUGGGGGUUUGUUCAGUCAAUACAAUGUUUUCCUUCUUGGGCAUGCUAAAGAAAGGAGCAUCAUAUCAGGCUAUGUUGAUAAAGAAGCUUAUGUUCUUCAAAGCCCUAAGGGGGAUAGAAAGUCUAAACAUUUAGAUCUGCUGAAAAAUUCCUGCAUUCAGCUUUUUGAUCAUUCAUAUUUAGACACUUUUUUUAGGAAUUACUUUGUUUUCCUAUUUUCUGAGAGGAAACGUCACCCAGAUUGUAUUGAACAUUUUUUUGUUUCUCUUUGUUUGAUUCUCUAUGGCCUUAUCAAUAAUCCUGAUGAAUAUGUGACCCUGAUCUGCAUCUGCUCCCUCAGAGAAGAGGCACAGCUCCCUUUGCCUCUGUUAACAAGCAGUGCCCCUUGUUUGGCCUGGCACCCCCGUUUCCUCUUACUCGGUGUCUUUGCCCAGCAAGUGCCCCCCUGGAGUUUCCUCACCUCUUGUGACGUUCCCUUGGCCUCCCCUUGGUCACAAUUCCAACACUCCUCUGCCCACUUCCAAACCUGCCAUGUUUUAUCCUUGCUUUCUCUCUGUCCUUCAUCCGUCCCUUCCCCCUUCUGCGCUGUCCUCCCUUUCCCACACCAGCUGGGAUUCAUUCUGGCCCUGACCGUUUGUAGCCAUUUAAACAAAUGGGUUUUUUCCCCUGUCAAAUGCUAAUGCGGAACUUUAUCACCUACUAAAAUAAACUUCCAAAAUCAGAAGCUUAAUGUCAAGACCUGUCUUUACCAUUAAUUAUAUAUUUUGUGUCUCAUGUGAAAAAUGAGGGCUAGAGCAUGCAUUUCUAUUCCCAGAUUUAACCAA